rnacentral:rRNA from 1 species
UGGGGAAUAUUGCACAAUGGGGGAAACCCUGAUGCAGCAACGCCGCGUGAAUGAAGAAGGCUCUUGGGUCGUAAAGUUCUUUCGACAGGGAAGAAGGGUAGGUUGGCUAACAUCCAACUUACUGGACGGUACCUGCAGAAGAAGCACCGGCUAAUUCCGUGCCAGCAGCCGCGGUAAUACGGGAGGUGCAAGCGUUGUUCGGAAUCACUGGGCGUAAAGAGCACGUAGGCGGGUCUGUAAGUCAUCUGUGAAAACCCUGGGCUCAACCCGGGACCUGCAGGUGAAACGGCAGAUCUUGAAUACCUAAGAGGGUGGGGGAAUUCCUGGUGGAGAAGUGAAAUUCGUAGAUAUCAGGAGGAACAUCGGAGGCGAAGGCGCCUGCCUGGUAGUGUAUUGACGCUGAGGUGCGAAAGUGCGGGGAGCAAACAGG